GUCCAGUUGAAGAGUCCCAAAUAGGACGAAACGCGCAUCCUGGAU
rnacentral:hammerhead_ribozyme from 1 species